rnacentral:rRNA from 1 species
GGAUGAACGCUGGCGGCGUGCUUAACACAUGCAAGUCGAACGGGGUACCCGUUGACGGAGUUUCGGACAACAGAUAGGACUACCUAGUGGCGGACGGGUGAGUAACGCGUGAGGAACCUGCCUUGGAGAGGGGAAUAACACAGAGAAAUUUGUGCUAAUACCGCAUGAUGCAGUUGGGUCGCAUGGCUCUGACUGCCAAAGAUUUAUCGCUCUGAGAUGGCCUCGCGUCUGAUUAGGUAGUUGGCGGGGUAACGGCCCACCAAGCCGACGAUCAGUAGCCGGACUGAGAGGUUGACCGGCCACAUGGGACUGAGACACGGCCCAGACUCCUACGGGAGGCAGCAGUGGGGAAUAUUGGGCAAUGGGCGCAAGCCUGACCCAGCAACGCCGCGUGAAGGAAGAAGGCUUUCGGGUUGUAAACUUCUUUUAUGAGGGACGAAGGAAGUGACGGUACCUCAUGAAUAAGCUCCGGCUAACUACGUGCCAGCCGCAGC